CCAGGAUUCGUCAAAGCUCACUUAAAAAACUAGCAAUUGAAGCGCUGCAAUAUCUAUAUUGUGAAAGUAAAAAGAGGAUACUAUUUGACUCUCGUCUAUGCUGUUAGACACUUGUACUUCAGACUGCUGCGAUACUUGCCGAGUUCCGAUUUCAGCUUCAUAUUCGGUCGCAGCGCAUCGGCAAAGUAUUCGUCGCACGGUGCAUAUGUCAUAUAUAGUAUAAAGUCGGCGGCCUGCAGUCCAUCGGGCGUCUGAUAACAGAUCUUGGGCAGCAGCAAUCGUCCCUCGUAUUGACACUCCGAGAGCUUGUGACCCAGACCGUUCUCAAUGGCCAGUUUCAUGUUGGUGACGCCAGGAAUUUUGAUGCUGCAAAAGGACAAUAUAGUAUUCUAUAUGUAUGAUCUGUAAUCAGUAUGAUUCAGCUGAUGGGAACAGACGCUGGGAAUGUAACUUCUGUUGUAUAAGCCUUCUAAAUAUAGUAGAGUUUCUUAUGUAACCACAAUUUCACCUUGAGACUAUCUGGCCAGAAAGAAACUCAAGCAAGACGAAUCGAAAAACUAUAUGCAUUAUUCGGAUGUAGAUGUAGGGGACUCUAUUUGGCGCACAUCAGAGCAGAGCAGAGCAAUACAACUAACUAUGUAUAUAUAUAAUGUAAUUCGAAACCUGCAUGAAUCAUUCCAAGAGUGAUAUGGCAUAGCUCCUGUAUAUCUAUAGUCGACUCAGCAUAAGAUUAUCAAUUUGUCAACCUAACUCUGAGCUAAGCUAACUUCCUAUAGCAGCCAAAUCAGUUCUGUAUAUAUAAUAAACCGAGAAUCUGGCAUAGA